UACAGAGGUCCCGAGCGUUGUUCGGAUUCACUGGGCGUAAAGGGUGCGUAGGUGGUGAGGUAAGUCGGAUGUGAAAUCUCCGAGCUCAACUCGGAAAUGGCAUUGGAAACUACCUUGCUUGAGGGUUGGAGGGGGACUGGAAGUACUUGGUGUAGCAGUGAAAUGCGUAGAUAUCAAGUGGAACACCAGUGGCGAAGGCGAGUCCCUGGACAACUCCUGACACUGAGGCACGAAAGCUAGGGGAGCAAACAGG
rnacentral:rRNA from 1 species